GGAAGAUUUGAAAUGGGCCUAUAAUUUGCCAGUUCACUAGGAUCUAGUUUUGGUUUCUUAAUAAGAGGCUUGAUAACCGCCAGCUUGAAUGGUUUUGGGACGUGUCCUAAAGAUAACGACGAGUUAAUGAUAUUGAGAAGCGGUUCUUCAGCUACAGAUAACAGCUCUUUCAGUAAUUUAGUGGGUACAGGAUCUAAUAAACAUGUUGUUGGUUUAGAUACAGUGAUAAGUUUAUUUAGCUCUUCCUGUCCUAUGGUUGUAAAGCACUGCAGUUUAUCUUUGGGUGCGAUGGAUGAAACUGAAGUGUUAGAUGAUGUAGAAUCUACAUUCGCUAUUGUAUUUCUAAUGUUAUCUAUUUUAUCAGUGAAGAAAUUCAUAAAGUCAUUACUGUUUAACGUUGGUGGAAUAUUUGAAUCAGGUGGCGUCUGGUAAUUUGUUAACUUAGCCACUGUGCUAAAUAAAAACCUUGGAUUGUUUUGGUUAUUUUCAAUGAGUUUGUGUAUAUGCUCUGCCCUAGCAGUUUUUAGAGCCUGUCUAUAGCUGGACAUACUGUUUUUCCAUGCAAUUCUAAAAACUUCUAAGUUAGUUUUUCUCCAUUUGCGUUCAAGACUAGGAGUUUCUUUCUCGAGAGAGUGAGUAUUAAUGUUAUACCAUGGCACAGUACGUUUUUCUCUAACCUUUUUCAAUUUGAUCGGGGCAACAGCUUCUAAUUAUGGGGUCAGAAUUGUUGCAUUAUUCCAAAUAAAUAGAUUAUUAUCCAUAAAUAAAUGUAACGAGAUUCACAAAAAUAUAUAAAACUCACAAAUAAAUAAAAUGAGAUUUGCAAAUAAAAAAAUAUAUAUUUACAAAUGUGUUUAAUGUCACAAACACAACUCUACCUGGCAUUUAUUUGUGCACCGCUGUCUGUGCAUUUGUAAAUUACUGCACGCAUUUGUGGAUCGCUUCCUGUGCAUUUGUGGAUUUGAAACACUUCUAGCGUCGACGUGCAGAUAAAUCCACAAAUAAGUGGACUCCACCCACCGUCUACUUAACCCAAUCAGACAACGCCCAUGUUGCACUGACCAAUCGCAGCACGCUCUCUCUCCAACCAAUCACGUUUUGCCUAACAACCAGGGCGGGAUCAGACACAUGAACGCGAGUCACUCGCUACAGUCUCUUCAACAUGGCCGAUCAAGAGGAGUAAAGACAGGACAGUGAGGCAGCAAAUGACAGACUAAUCCACUUUCUGAAGCUUGGAUUACCCCAGGAAAACAUCAGUAACAUUUUAGGUGUCACUCAUACAACUAUCGUUCGUCGGAUGAGAGAAUGUGUUUGGCCAGAGACAGAAUCCAAUAAUUAACCCUGAGAUGGAAUAUUCAGACUCAAUGGCAGUUGAACAAGAUGGUGGAGAUGCUGACCAUGUUCACUUUGCAGUCAACGUGCCUGUAAUUCACAGGCCACAACUCACAAAUGAGCAAAUUGACCCACUGCAAGUGUCUGAUUCAUUUGGAGUAGAUGUAUACCUCAAGACUCUCACAUAUGUACAGACUUUGAUUGAAUAAAGGGAUAUUUGAAGGUU